GUUCAGUGUUGGAGGAGAGUGAGAACCUGAGCCUACAGAGGAACUGGAGAGGAGGAGGGGCUAGCGGCGGCGGUGGGUGAGGGGACACCCCAGGAAUGCUCCCCUGGGCUGCAGGGGGAGGCUGCAUCUUGCCCUUCCAAGAGCUUGCGGUGGCUGGGGCUGCGCUGGGGGGUGCCGAAAGGUGGCCGCGUGGCGAGCAGGCCAGCUGUCAAGGGCACGAUGAAGCAUGAUGAUGAUGACGAUGCCCAGGGCCCAGUGUGCACAACCUGAGGUGUCCGCAGAGAUAAGUACUCUCCAGAGGAGCCGUGUUCUCUUCCGCUUAGUAGCCAGCUGAUCUUGAAGGACUCAGCCCUAAAGGAAUAAAAGGACUGCGGGAACCCCUUCUCACAGGCCCGUGGAUCCCUCUCCUCCACUUACCACUCCAAGAGAUCAGUGGCUUGAGCAGAUUGCUGAACCCAAGCUACAGCCUGUCACUGAAAAGUGCCUGGAAAUGAGGCCGCCCUGGGCAAUGAGCCCCUCGCCCUGUGGAGCUGACUUUACCUCUUCAGGCAGACGCUGUCAGGACUUGAGUUUGGUUAGAGGACCCUAACUGGUCUCCUCUGCUGAAGCGAGCGCUCGCUUGGGACCUGAGGACCCCUGCCCUCAUUAUGUCAGAACUAUGCUGGGAGGGCAGAGUGGUCAAAAGCAUUGCCCUGCUUUGACAGUCCACUGCAGCAAGGUGACGGCUGCAUUCCCUCCCGCCUUACCAUCAGUCCUCUAGCACAAGCCUCCUCACUCAGGAGCCCAAGUUCAAAGAAGUGAAAGCUUCCCGAAACAAAAGGACAAGCAAAUGUGUAUUCUUGAUGUGGCCCCAAGCUCUACCAACAGACUGGCUCUCUGGACUGGCCUGUGCUUAUAGUCAGCCAGCCCUAAGCCCAGCCAGCACAUAGGAAUUCAUGCUCACCACGGUGGCGAGGGUUUGGGACCAAUGGGACGUGGACCACUCUCUUGGAAAUGAACCUUCCCCAGUUCACUCAGGGUACUCUUGAACAUGCUUGAGAGAGAAGCGGUGAUAUUGAUUUAAAGCCAUGCUACUUAAGUUCAUGACAGCCAGCACUAGCAGCUAGAAGCUGAGGUCCUGACUAGCCAGAGGUAAUGCAGCUCAGGAAGAAAAGGAAUCACCACUGCUCUAACUGUGUGACCUUGGGGCCACCCACUUUCCUGGACCACUGUUGUUUUGUACAGUGGGGAUGUGGGCGAGUGUGGAAAGACAAACGAGAGGCUUGGUUCAUGAACAUGAGUCGAAACAUCAAGGAAUCCUCAUCGAAACCGGAAGAUGUGGAGGAGGAAAUGGCAGCCACCUCCAAGGACUGAAAGAAGCCAGUUCUGUGUAACCACUUAACAAGCACUAUUUGGUGUCCACGUGCAAACAACAAUGCUCCGACGCUGUGUGUGAGACCAUGCCAUCUCAAAGCUGCCUUUCCAGCCCUACAUGAACGAAUUGCUCAGGGAAGGAAGGCUGCAGGCUGCCGGAGCCAUUAUCUACUGUCACUGUAGGUGUCUUCAGACCCCAGGACCUCCCAGCCUGGCGUGCGGUGGGCAGAGAAGAGCAGGUGUUCCGGCCGGUGUGAGAAAUGGUCUACAGACACUUUUAGGAGAAUGGGAAGCUUGGAGACUGCGCUGUGAGUUACAGAACCUCCCUGCAGGCGAUCGUCUCUCUCAGCACCGCCAGAGACAGAUCACAGGACCCUUAUAGAUACCAACAUCCGUGGAUGUCCAAGCCCUUUACAUAAAACACAAGGCUCUAGCACCUUCUCCUAGAGCCUGGGUGAUGGAGGCAACCGAUCCAUGGAAGCCCUGUGCAAAUACUUGGAGCGCUUUGCUUGAGGGAAAGAAGAAGUCAGAGCAGUACCUUGUUCCUGCACAUUCCCUCUGUCGCUGCUUGUACUGGAGGACACAGCUAUGAGCACGAGGCCAGCUGUGCUCUCUGGUGGUGAGAAUGCUCUGCAGAGCAGCGGAGCCAACCAGGAGGGGGAAGAGGGUUUGUUUUCCUCCCUCAACUUCAGGGAAGAAGAGGGGACCUUGUGCCCCAGGAGACUAGUGUCACUCGGCCUUCAGGGAGGAAACACUCUACUGUUUCCAAAGUCUUACAUUCAGAGGGGAGGAGAAUUGGCUUGUCUGAACCCAAGGACUGAAAGGGUCACUUCCCAUGUUCAUGAUGGACCUCGGAGGGGCGGAAUCCCCAAGGAAUAUGACGUGUGGCUGGACCCUAGGAAAAGAACUGGCUGUAAGAUGUGCAGAACCCGGUGCGGUGAAAAUGUUUUGUUUUGUUUUCUCACAAGGUAUUCAGAAUUGCAGCCCAGUGAUGUCAGGAAUCCGGGUGUGGGACCCUCUGGAGCACAAACUUCUGUGCCUGGCUUCACUCAAAGUCCACCAGAGUUAUGUUUGGCCAUGUUUUAGGGCCUGUGGCCCAGCCAAGGUGAAACACAAAACAAAUCCUCACAGGAGCUGAAUCCACAACUGAUAACAGCCUCACAGGAACCCAGCUAUGGCAGGUACAACUCCACUCCUAGGCAGCUUCACCAACCACAUCUGAGGUAGACCAGCUGUCUCUACCACUUAAUGAGUCUGGUUCCUUUGUGAAGCCUGUGUCAGUAGUAUGUCAGCCUCACAAAAUCAAGGGGGUCAGUUCCUAGGAAGAGGCCUCGAGGAUCACGGGUGUACCUCAGGGGAUUAAACAGGCCACCGAGCAAACCCUGGGAGCUAGGAAGUUGUAGCAUGUGAUACUGAUACUUUUGAUCCAAUGUCACUUUCCUGCAGCCAGAGACUGUGGGAAGUGCUCCUUGUUAUCACACCAUCUUCUGUUUGCUCUAUCAGAAAUUAUUCAGACCAUUUUCUCUCAUGGUGGCUGCUGCAACAGGCCUGGUCAUCGGUUCAGGCCCAUUUGGUUGCAAAAUUGAAUUCACCCACUGGAGACAGAGUUGGAAGGCCAUUCCCACAUAGGCACAUACAGACUGGGCAUGCACCCCAGCAUGCUGUCCUGCAGCCAUGAAAAGCAGAGAGGCCUCGUUAUUGGGAGGAGGCAGGCUUAGAACUCAAUACCAGUCCAUAAGCUGUGACUUGCACUAUGUGCCUUAACUUCUCUGCUUUCUCUAUCCCCAUCAGUACCACAGGAAUUUGGGACCAGAAGAGAAUACUGUUUGUCUCAUGAACUUCAAGACAAUGAAAAAAAUGUAGUCUAGCUCCCCUUCUGAACUGGCCCUCUAGAAAGCUCAAAGGGCAAUGCUCCAAGUCUGUUACAUAAGAAGUCGUGUGCCCCCUCUUUGCCUCCCCAGUUUGGGGGCUAUUUAGGCACACCUGCAACUUUUCAGGUAAGUUCCCAGGGUCUGACCUUCAAGUGCCCAUAGACAUGUGCUGAUUCCGUAGUCAGUUCGAGUGUUGAAUCAGGCCCUGGGCUGACUGGUCCGUCCACCCUUCCAAAUGGCGGCAUGUGAAGCAGUCAUUGGCAUGCAUUCCAUCUGCUGACUCUGAAGUGCUAAGGGCACCAGAGAGAUGGCUCAGGGGAUAAAGGGGCUUGCCGUUAAGCCUGAGGACCUGAGUUCGAUCCCCAGAACCUGCAUGGUCAAAGGAGAGAACUGACUCUAAAAGAAUUGUUCUCUGACCUCCACGUGAGUGGUGUGGCAUGCACAAGCUUACCACAUGGAAUAUAUAGAUAGAUAGACAGACAGACAGACAGACAGAUAGACGGAUAGAUAAUUUUGAAAAGAAAAUUUCCCAAGUCUAAGAAGAUGGAAGAAGUGUACCAAGAUGAGAGUCUGUCUGUGCCCCAAAAAGGCCCUGUUUCACCUUUCCAGCCCACUGCCAAAGGCAAGCAAAGAGAGACUGUGUCGUCCAUCCCUGGGACCCAGGUCCCUUUCCUCUUACUGGCUUCUCUACAUCCUUGCAGUUCAGACUCUGUCACUCACAUUGAGGUGCUUGCUGUGAGUGUCUUUGUCCUUUUCAAAAUGGUAGGCUGGUUGAAUGUAAUGGUUGGUGUUAAUCAUUAACUUGACAGAAUCUAGAGCCGUGGUUGAGGCCUUUGAGAUUCCUGUGGGAGAGUAUCCUGAUUGUAUUCUUUGAUGUGAGGGGACUCAUCUUGUCUGUGGACAGGACUCUAUUUCCUGGGCUGAGAUCCUGGAUAGAAAAACAUGAAAUAAACAAGCUAAGCACAAGAAAUCGAAUGUUACCAAGCU